UGAUCCUGGCUCAGGAUGGACGCUAGCGGCAGGCUUAACACAUGCAAGUCGAGGGGUAACAGGUCACUUCGGUGAUGCUGACGACCGGCGCACGGGUGAGUAACGCGUAUGGAACCUACCUGAAACAGGGGGAUAGCUUCCGGAAACGGGGAUUAAUACCCCAUACGAUUCAUUUGUGGCCUCACAAAUGGAUAAAAGCUACGGCGGUUUCAGAUGGUCAUGCGUACCAUUAGUUAGUUGGUGAGGUAAAGGCUCACCAAGGCGAUGAUGGUUAGGGGUCCUGAGAGGGUAGUCCCCCACACUGGUACUGAGACACGGACUAGACUCCUACGGGAGGCAGCAGUGAGGAAUAUUGGUCAAUGGGCGCUAGCCUGAACCAGCCAUGCCGCGUGCAGGAAGACGGCCCUACGGGUUGUAAACUGCUUUUCUGCAGGAAGAAUAUAUAGUCUUAGGGCUAUAUUGACGGUACUGCAGGAAUAAGCAUCGGCUAACUCCGUGCCAGCAGCCGCGGUAAUACGGAGGAUGCAAGCGUUAUCCGGAUUCAUUGGGUUUAAAGGGUGCGCAGGCUGUAAAGCAAGUCAGUGGUGAAAGCCCUGGGCUUAACUCAGGGAUUGCCAUUGAAACUGUUUUACUAGAGUGUAGUAGAGGACGGCGGAAUGAGUUGUGUAGCGGUGAAAUGCAUAGAUAUAACUCAGAACACCUAUUGCGUAGGCAGCUGUCUAUACUACAACUGACGCUGAGGCACGAAAGCGUGGGGAGCGAACAGGAUUAGAUACCCUGGUAGUCCACACUGUAAACGAUGAUCACUCGUUGUUGGCUACUUAGUAGUCAGUGACCAAGGGAAACCGAUAAGUGAUCCACCUGGGGAGUACGUCGGCAACGAUGAAACUCAAAGGAAUUGACGGGGGCCCGCACAAGCGGAGGAACAUGUGGUUUAAUUCGAUGAUACGCGAGGAACCUUACCUGGGCUUAAAUGCUGGCUGCAUUGGAGGGAAACCUUCAUUUCCUACGGGACCGCCAGCAAGGUGCUGCAUGGUUGUCGUCAGCUCGUGCCGUGAGGUGUCGGGUUAAGUCCCAUAACGAGCGCAACCCCUAUCGCUAGUUGCCAGCAUGUAAUG
rnacentral:rRNA from 1 species